GGCCCCGCCCAGCACGUGCGUCGGCCCCGCGUGCCCCCGGCGCUAGCGGAGCGCCUGUCCCGGGGGAAGGGAGGUGGGGUCGGGGGGACACCUCCGCCUCCAGUCGGCACUGCCCGCGCCGGGCCCGGCCUGUCCCCUGGGUCCCACCGGCCCUUUAAGGCUGGUCUGUUGCGCAGCCGGCCUCUGGGCGGGGAAAGCGCCGCGCGCGCCGCGCCGGGGCCGCCUCUGGAGCCGUUUAGGGGAACAGAGAGCUGGUGCAGUCGAAAUGGCCCUGGUGCCCUAUGACGAGACCGCGGUGAUGGGGUUGCAGAGAUUCCACAAGCCUCUUGCCACCUUCUCCUUUGCAAACCACACGAUCCAGAUCCGACAGGACUGGAGGCAACUGGGAGUCGCAGCGGUGGUUUGGGACGCGGCUGUCGUUCUUUCCAUGUAUCUGGAGAUGGGAGCUGUGGAGCUCAGGGGCCGCUCUGCCGUGGAGCUGGGUGCUGGCACGGGGCUGGUGGGCAUAGUGGCUGCCUUACUGGGCAGUGAGGUGCAGUUUGCCAACCCAACAGAGACGAGUGAUUUAAGACGUUCUUUCUAACAAAUAAAGGAGCAGAGCUGAGAAAAUAUAAGAGAAACCAAUUUUUUCCUGAGAAACAAAGAAGGCAAUUUUAAUGAGUCAAUAUCCAGGCAUAAUCACACAAGCAUAGAAUAGGAAAGAUUAAGAAUUUUGGAGGCUGGAAAGCAGAUGGAUGAAUGGUACUGAACUUGGAAGACCUCAGAAAGCCAACUCAUAAGGCAGACGCAGAGAAAGCCAGAUUGGCACCACAAAAUCCUUAAGAGGCUCAGGAUCUAAGACACCCUGGAAGACGGAGUGAAAGGAGAGGCUGAAAAUAAGGAAGGCUGGUUGAGAAGCAAUUGGAUCCCCUCAACUUCCUGUGGAAGAACAAUUAAUGUAUCCCGUGCUGACAGAGAACUGGAGAUUUAUUUUCUGGAGGGCCUCUUGACUUUGACUGCCUAACACCAGGCAGUGCUGAAGGUGGGGUACUAAACCCCAGACUCUUUCUCUCACUUUGCUCCUAGGCCUUUACCAUACAAGCAGGGUAUUACUAAAGCUUUCUCUGGUGACCCCGUCCAACACCAAGGGGCAGAAGAAAGACUUAAGAUACUGACUUUGGGAAUGCCACAGUCACCAUAAGUGAAGUUCACAACUCACAAAUGUUAGGCUCCAAACAUAUAUAUCCAGAGUUUCCAAUACAGCUUUUGGAUUCCCUCCUUUUAAACCUGAGCAGACAACCACAAAUUAUUAAACAUUUAAGGAAAGCUUCUAAUAUGAAAGAUGGAGACCAGAACAAAUGGAAGGGAAAGAAAGCUAUACAGAGGAAAAUCUGUGGGGGAAGAAGAAAACUUAAAACCUAAUUAACAUUCUCAGAGAUAAGAGAAAAACAUUGCCUUUGUGAAAAAUAAACAGAAUGCUAUUAAAACACAAAACGACUAUUCCGAGAACAAAAGGAACCUUAGAAACAUGAUAGUAGAAAUAAAAAAUUUAACAGAUGGGUUGGAAUGUGAACUUGAAGAAUCUCUCAGAAAACAGAGCAAAAAGACAGAGAUAAAAAACAGGAGAGAAAAGAAAAAGCCCAAGCAUUCAAGGCACCAAGGAUAUACUGGGACUAUAUUUAAAAAUUAGCCAUGGUUAAUCUACAAAGAUGACAGAUGACAUACAGACAACAACAAAGAUUUUGUGUACAGUUUUUAAAAGGCUCACUUCAAAUUUAGGUAUCUUUAUCUUUAAUCCUUAAAGAAUCAGCAUCAAGUCCAACCUUCCAGAGGCAGGGGGUAUUGGUAAAGCAUCUGCAUUAAUAAAAACUCAAAGCAGAAAAACUUCUCCUUAAGCUAUGGAAAAUGAACCUGAUUUCCUUGGCUUUAAAAAAAUACAUCUGUAAUUUCAGUAAGUUUUAACUGUCUAAAGCAUGCAUGUCUGCUUUGUUUAAUUUGUGCAACUCUAAUGGUGCGCGGUUUUUAAUCUUGCCUUUCAAAUUUGUGACCCUGCGAGAAUCAAUUAUUCAUUAAACAAACAAAUUUUCUGUGCCCAUUACAUAGUAAGUGUUCUGCUAAAAACUAUGGGGACUAAAAAUAAAAAGCAGAUAAGAACCUUUCUCUCAAUGAGCUUACGAGCUAAUAAGAGAUAAAAUAUGUAUCAUAUAUGAAAGAGCUGGGCAAAUGUAAACUAAUCCUUACAAAAGUUUACCUAUAAAUUCCCUCCAAACAUGUAAUGAAUAACAAUGAUUUAAAGUCACAAAUUAUUUUGAAAUGAUAGGAAUGCAAUGAAUUAUGAAAAAAAGGAAAGCAUGAGCUGGCCAGUUAUGGUAAUCUUUAUACUGGUGCAGACCUGAGUAAUAAGAUGGUGAAAUUAAUAUAUUUUUUCAAAUCUGUAUCUAGGAUACUUCCUCUAAGUAAACUCUUAUAAACCUAAACGACUGUUUAAGAACAAAAAUUCUAGUAAAAAUAAUAAAUCUAGAACCUUGAAAACUAUCUUAACAAAGACAGAUAAUGCUACAAGAGUGAUGAAAACUACACUUUUAUUGCUAUUUCUUGCUCAGGGAAAAGGCUCUACCAGCAAGUAAAUUAUUUAAAUUCUUUAGGACUCGGUUUAGUCAUCUGUAAGAAAUGAAGGAGUUACUGCUCUCUUCAUGAAGUUUGUAAAAUGUGAAUUCCCCAAAUACAGUUUAUGAGUAAUACACUACAUCCACAACAAACAUCAUAAUAAAUUCUCAUAACAAAUGAUCCUCAAAAUAUAGUACUUUAAAUUAAAAUGUUUCACUUAAAGUUGCUAUUUCUUGAUUUUUAUCUUUGCUUCUUUUCAUCAGUUACUCCAACUAAUGGAUCUGGACAGAACACAGGGAAGGCCAGAGGGGCAGAGUAUUAACUCCAAAUAUGAAUUAGCGGCUUUAGUUAUUUUUCAUUAAAUAAUGGUAUCUUGUUUGCCUGGGCUUUCAGGGAUAUUAGAAAAUGUUUGUAAUAAUUAAGAAUUUAUGAUGUCCAUCCAAUAUAGGACACCAAAAGCACAAGCAACAAAAGAAUAAAUAUAUGAACUGGAAAUCAUCGACAUUAAAAACUGUGCCUUAAAGGGCACCAUCAAGAAAGUGAAAAGACAAUCCACAGAAUGGAAGAAAAUUUUAUAAAUCAUGUAUCUUCUAUCUAGAAUUUUAAGAACUACGACUCAAUAAGAAGACGACAGCCCAAUUUAAAAAUGGGAAAAGGAUCCAAACAGACAUUUCUUCAAAAGAGAUAUACAAAUAGAUAAUGAGUACAAGAUGCUAGACAUCAGUUAUUAGAGAAAUGCCAAAUCAAAACCACAACGAGAUACCACCUCUCGCCCACUAAAAUGGCUAUAUGAAAAAUAAUAAGUGGUGAUGAGGAUGUGGAGAAAUUAGAACCCUCAUACACUGCUGGUAUGAAUGUAAAAAGGUACAGUAGCUUUGGCAGUCUGGCAGGUCCUCAAAUGGUUCAACAUGGUUACCAGAUAAUUCAGCAAUUCCACUCCUGUAAGUAUUGGGUUGUCGGAAAAGUCAUGACGUAUUUUUUGU